GGUUAAGCGACUAAGCGUACACGGUGGAUGCCCUGGCAGUCAGAGGCGAUGAAGGACGUGCUAAUCUGCGAUAAGCGUCGGUAAGGUGAUAUGAACCGUUAUAACCGGCGAUUUCCGAAUGGGGAAAACCCAGUGUGAUUCGUCACACUAUCAUUAACUGAAUCCAUAGGUUAAUGAGGGCGAACCGGGGGAACUGAAACAUCUAAGUACCCCGAGGAAAAGAAAUCAACCGAGAUUCCCCCCAGUAGCGGCGAGCGAACGGGGAGGAGCCCAGAGCCUGAAUCAGUGUGUGUGUUAGUGGAAGCGUCUGGAAAGGCGCGCGAUACAGGGUGACAGCCCCGUACACAAAAAUGCACAUGCUGUGAGCUCGAUGAGUAGGGCGGGACACGUGGUAUCCUGUCUGAAUAUGGGGGGACCAUCCUCCAAGGCUAAAUACUCCUGACUGACCGAUAGUGAACCAGUACCGUGAGGGAAAGGCGAAAAGAACCCCGGCGAGGGGGAGUGAAAAAGAACCUGAAACCGUGUACGUACAAGCAGUGGGAGCACAGAGCAAUCUGUGUGACUGCGUACCUUUGUAUAAUGGGUCAGCGACUUAUAUUCUGUAGCAAGGUUAACCGAAUAGGGGAGCCGAAGGGAAACCGAGUCUUAACUGGGCGUUAAGUUGCAGGGUAUAGACCCGAAACCCGGUGAUCUAGCCAUGGGCAGGUUGAAGGUUGGGUAACACUAACUGGAGGACCGAACCGACUAAUGUUGAAAAAUUAGCGGAUGACUUGUGGCUGGGGGGUGAAAGGCCAAUCAAACCGGGAGAUAGCUGGUUCUCCCCGAAAGCUAUUUAGGUAGCGCCUCGUGAAUUCAUCUCCGGGGGUAGAGCACUGUUUCGGCAAGGGGGUCAUCCCGACUUACCAACCCGAUGCAAACUGCGAAUACCGGAGAAUGUUAUCACGGGAGACACACGGCGGGUGCUAACGUCCGUCGUGAAGAGGGAAACAACCCAGACCGCCAGCUAAGGUCCCAAAGUCAUGGUUAAGUGGGAAACGAUGUGGGAAGGCCCAGACAGCCAGGAUGUUGGCUUAGAAGCAGCCAUCAUUUAAAGAAAGCGUAAUAGCUCACUGGUCGAGUCGGCCUGCGCGGAAGAUGUAACGGGGCUAAACCAUGCACCGAAGCUGCGGCAGCGACACUGUGUGUUGUUGGGUAGGGGAGCGUUCUGUAAGCCUGUGAAGGUGUGCUGUGAGGCAUGCUGGAGGUAUCAGAAGUGCGAAUGCUGACAUAAGUAACGAUAAAGCGGGUGAAAAGCCCGCUCGCCGGAAGACCAAGGGUUCCUGUCCAACGUUAAUCGGGGCAGGGUGAGUCGACCCCUAAGGCGAGGCCGAAAGGCGUAGUCGAUGGGAAACAGGUUAAUAUUCCUGUACUUGGUGUUACUGCGAAGGGGGGACGGAGAAGGCUAUGUUGGCCGGGCGACGGUUGUCCCGGUUUAAGCGUGUAGGCUGGUUUUCCAGGCAAAUCCGGAAAAUCAAGGCUGAGGCGUGAUGACGAGGCACUACGGUGCUGAAGCAACAAAUGCCCUGCUUCCAGGAAAAGCCUCUAAGCAUCAGGUAACAUCAAAUCGUACCCCAAACCGACACAGGUGGUCAGGUAGAGAAUACCAAGGCGCUUGAGAGAACUCGGGUGAAGGAACUAGGCAAAAUGGUGCCGUAACUUCGGGAGAAGGCACGCUGAUAUGUAGGUGAAGUCCCUCGCGGAUGGAGCUGAAAUCAGUCGAAGAUACCAGCUGGCUGCAACUGUUUAUUAAAAACACAGCACUGUGCAAACACGAAAGUGGACGUAUACGGUGUGACGCCUGCCCGGUGCCGGAAGGUUAAUUGAUGGGGUCAGCGCAAGCGAAGCUCUUGAUCGAAGCCCCGGUAAACGGCGGCCGUAACUAUAACGGUCCUAAGGUAGCGAAAUUCCUUGUCGGGUAAGUUCCGACCUGCACGAAUGGCGUAAUGAUGGCCAGGCUGUCUCCACCCGAGACUCAGUGAAAUUGAACUCGCUGUGAAGAUGCAGUGUACCCGCGGCAAGACGGAAAGACCCCGUGAACCUUUACUAUAGCUUGACACUGAACAUUGAGCCUUGAUGUGUAGGAUAGGUGGGAGGCUUUGAAGUGUGGACGCCAGUCUGCAUGGAGCCGACCUUGAAAUACCACCCUUUAAUGUUUGAUGUUCUAACGUGGACCCGUGAUCCGGGUUGCGGACAGUGUCUGGUGGGUAGUUUGACUGGGGCGGUCUCCUCCUAAAGAGUAACGGAGGAGCACGAAGGUUGGCUAAUCCCCGGUCGGACAUCAGGAGGUUAGUGCAAUGGCAUAAGCCAGCUUGACUGCGAGCGUGACGGCGCGAGCAGGUGCGAAAGCAGGUCAUAGUGAUCCGGUGGUUCUGAAUGGAAGGGCCAUCGCUCAACGGAUAAAAGGUACUCCGGGGAUAACAGGCUGAUACCGCCCAAGAGUUCAUAUCGACGGCGGUGUUUGGCACCUCGAUGUCGGCUCAUCACAUCCUGGGGCUGAAGUAGGUCCCAAGGGUAUGGCUGUUCGCCAUUUAAAGUGGUACGCGAGCUGGGUUUAGAACGUCGUGAGACAGUUCGGUCCCUAUCUGCCGUGGGCGCUGGAGAACUGAGGGGGCUGCUCCUAGUACGAGAGGACCGGAGUGGACGCAUCACUGGUGUUCGGGUUGUCAUGCCAAUGGCACUGCCCGGUAGCUAAAUGCGGAAGAGAUAAGUGCUGAAAGCAUCUAAGCACGAAACUUGCCCCGAGAUGAGUUCUCCCUGACCCUUUAAGGGUCCUGAAGGAACGUUGAAGACGACGACGUUGAUAGGCCGGGUGUGUAAGCGCAGCGAUGCGUUGAGCUAACCGGUACUAAUGAACCGUGAGGCUUAACCUU
rnacentral:rRNA from 1 species